rnacentral:rRNA from 1 species
CAGUAGCCGCGGGAAAACAGAGGGUGCGAGCGUUAAUCGGAUUUACUGGGCGUAAAGCGUGCGUAGGCGGCUUCUUAAGUCGGAUGUGAAAUCCCUGAGCUUAACUUAGGAAUUGCAUUCGAUACUGGGAAGCUAGAGUAUGGGAGAGGAUGGUAGAAUUCCAGGUGUAGCGGUGAAAUGCGUAGAGAUCUGGAGGAAUACCGAUGGCGAAGGCAGCCAUCUGGCCUAAUACUGACGCUGAGGUACGAAAGCAUGGGGAGCAAACAGGAUUAGAUACCCCUGUAGUCCCUGUCUCUUAUAA